CCUACGGGUGGCAGCAGUGGGGAAUAUUGCACAAUGGGGGAAACCCUGAUGCAGCGACGCCGCGUGAAGGAAGAAGUAUUUCGGUAUGUAAACUUCUAUCAGCAGGGAAGAAAAUGACGGUACCUGACUAAGAAGCCCCGGCUAACUACGUGCCAACCGCCGCGGUAAUACGUAAGGGGCAAGCGUUAUCCGGAUUUACUGGGUGUAAAGGGAGCGGAGGCGGUGAUGCAAGGCAGAAGUGAAAGCCCGCAGCUCAACUGCGGGACUGCUUUUGAAACUGUAUGACUAGAUUGCAGGAGAGGUAGGUGGAAUUCCUAGUGUAGCGGUGAAAUGCGUAGAGAUUAGGAGGAACACCAGUGGCGAAGGCGGCUUACUGGACUGUAAAUGACGCUGAGGCUCGAAAGUGUGGGGAGCAAACAGGAUUAGAUACCCUUGUAGUC
rnacentral:rRNA from 1 species